UCAGGUCUAUGUCUUUUUCAGGAGACAAUGUUGUGUCAGUCAUGCCUCCUGCUUCCCUUGUGAGGUGUCCUAGGGAAUCAGGCAGUUAUUUUUCCUCUUAGGAAGGAUUUGGAACUUAAUUUGACACUGUGCCAUUUCAAGGAGAAAUGUUCAGGUUUUAGUUUUGCUGUUCAUGAGAGGAAAAGUCAGGUUUCACUUUUGCUCUUCAGCAAAUGCAGAAAUAUUUUCCUGCUAGGGCAGAAGGUGAGUUAAGCUAAUGAGAGAAUGAAAGAGAAGCAUCUGAUGAAAGAAAAGAUUUGGCAUUUCAGUGAAACCUGUAACUGUUGCAUGCAUUCAAUAAGUGACAAGAAAUAAUAUGUAGCAUUUAGGUGAUCUUUGGAAUCAUUAAAGCAUUAAACCUCUAACUCAUUUUCAAGAGUUUCAUAAAGAUCAAGAAGGUAGUGAAGCUUCACAGGACCACCAUGGAAAUAUAAUGGCUUAACUCACAUGUAUUGAUACCAAUAUCCUAGUUAAUAUAAAAUUUCAGCACUUCAACUGAAGCAGAAAAACCUCCUCUUGGCUCUUGAGAUUACCCUUCAAAGCAUCCUACACUAAGUGCCAACACUGCAUAGAGAAACAACUGUUGCUAUACAACGCACCUCUGUGCACACCUACAAUCGCCUUGUGAUGACAAUGAAAUGAGAAUGUAUUAUUAUACUUGUACAGAUCAUGGGUGAUUCUUUUGAGCAGAUAAUGACACAUACUCCUACUGUUUCAAAUUAUGAGGAGGAGUCAACAUGGAGAGGUAUGUGAAAGUAAACCUUAUGUUUGCUCCCCUUACAAAGUGAGCCUACUGAAAAUCUUCUGCUACAAUAAGGAUUUUGAAAUUCUGGAUUUGAUAAGCAGCAACUUUUAUGGAUUUUGUAUUGGUAUCGAAACACAGCACCAGCUUCUUGUUUGCUUUUAUGUGCAAGUCAGAGUACCAAUGAAUGUCUCAAAUUUUGCACUUUUUCAACUCCUAUCCUCCUGUUGUGAUAGCUAAGACAGUGUUACAGAUUUUGUGGUAAAAAACUGAGGAGGAAGACUGUACUGAUAUAUUUGGUUCUCUUUUUACUUCAACAGAAAGCAAAAUUGUAGAAGGCACAGUUGCUACAACACUAGUGCCAUUAUACAUUAUUCUUUUUUCAAGUUUAUAUGUAAUCAUGCAAAUUUUUCAAGGACAUUUUGCAGAUUAUGCAUAACACCAUCUGCCUGUCAUGAAAAAUAUAUGUGUUAUGUGACAUUAAAUUUCUUCAUUAUGUUAGGAGACACUGAAUAAAGGUUAUCUCAAAAGUAGAUAAUACCCAUAAUAUUGAAUAUAGGAGAAACUGUGUACAGUAAAAGUGCAGUACAGAGCUGUGUUUUGGAUUCAGUGUGAGAAUACCACGUUGAUUCCACGCUGAUGUUUUGGUUGUUAAGUAGGGCUUACCCUAAAUGCAGGACUUUUCAGUGUCCCCUGCCCUGCCAGUGAGCAGCUGCACAAGAGGAUGGGAUGGAAAAUGGCUGGGACAGGUGACCCAAACUUGCCAAAGGGAUUUCCAUCCAUGGAAGGUCAUGUCCAGUCCAUAAACUGGGGGGAGUUGGCCAGGAGGGGCUGAUCACAGCUCAGGGAGUGGCUGGGCACUGGCCAGCUGGUAAUGAACAAUGGAAUUGUGCAUUGUUCUUUGUUGUCCAUCCCCCUUUGGCUUUGUCGUUACCUCUCUUUUUGUAGCCUCCAUUUUCUUAGCAAUUAUUAUUCUGGUUUUGGGUAUUUCAGUUAUGAAACUGUUCUUAGCUCGACUCAUUGAUGAAAAUAGCUCAGUUGGUCAGAGCAGGACGGGCUCAGUCCCUGCAUGAGCCAUUCCCACAAGAGUUGGAUUUGAUCAUUCUUAUGGGUCUGUUCCAACUCAAAAUAUUCAGUGGAAAUGAAGCUUCUUGUCUCCACCCCACCAGAGGGGAAUUCAGCUGCUGUAUGGUACUUGAUUGCUGGCUGGGGAUUAAACCAUGAGAAUUUCAUUUCACCUUUUUUGCAUUUUCAGGCACCAUAUUAUAUUAGAGGAAAAUCCUGUAUAAGUUUAUCCACUGGAAAGAUUGAGAGUCUGUCAGAGCUCUUGACAAACUGUAGUGGAUAGUUGCAUUUUCUUUUACAAAUGGACACCUUACUGAAUUUCUCUAGGGUCAGUAUUGAUACUGACCUUUUCCACUUGGCUGGAAAUGCAUUUUAUCCUCUGGAUGAUCUCAGUAAUAAUAUUACUGCUAUGAGGCUCACAAUGCAGUGCUUUGUAGAUGUGUUUUAAGCUCUACCUUAUUGGCAUAAUUUUUAAAGCAAACCAGUAUAUUAAGCUUUCAGUCCUAGAAGAUUCUCUUUGAAUUAUUUAAAAGUCAUUGGGCUAAUAUAUACCAUCUAUAUAUGUCUAUAUAUGCUUUCCUCUGGCUCUUUGGCUGCUUCAGAGUAACUUACCACUGUAAAACUGCUCACAAUUAUUACAUCUCUCAUAUUGGUAUAGAAAUUUUAAAACUUGCAGUGUAUUGCUACAUGGAAUAAUAUACAUGUAAAAUCCAAGUUCUUACUGCUUCUUAAUUAUACUUUUCUGUACUGUGAUAAAUUCUAUUUUUUCCUCAUUUCUGCAAUAAUAUCUAAUAAAAAUUCACAGCAAUCUCAAAGCAUGUAUUAAAUGGUAACAAACAAGUACAUAGCUUCAUGUGUACUGAUACAAAUUAAUAAAUAGUGAUUUGUGUUAAUGUUUUAUGGAAGUUAAUGGAUCAAGAAAUUGUUGGUGUCAGUGAGACUGGUAACUUUACCUUUGUAAGACUUGGCUCAAGACCUGUAUUUCUUGAUUCAGCUUGUUCUUUAUUUUUCUUUGGGAGACAGUUUUUUAGUGAUGGUGUUGGCGGAGGUGUAAUAAUAACUGUGCUCGUUGAAACACUUUUUCAGCUUCCAAGACUUAGUCUGCUGUCCUGUUUUGGAAGGAAUAAAUGGAAACUGUCUAAAGGCUCUGCACUGAGAGCAUGUUCCAGUUGUGUUUCCAAGUAAUUUGUUGAGUUCAUGCUUAAAUACAAGCUAUUUCUGGCAAGAUCCCCACCUCAUAGCUUACUUAGUUCUUCAACCCUGUAUUUACUGAAUGAUUUAUUUUAAAGUUUCCCCAGGUCUAAAGAAGUUACAGUACAGCCUUGUUAACUCUGAUCAUCUUUAUCAACUUCAAAUAUUUUGUCAUCCAGCUUCUUUAGCUUCAUUUGUUUAUUUAUCUUUUAUUCUAGGUUUUCACGAUACUGUUAUCAUCAUCAUUGUCUUCUCCUAAAUUGUUAAUGUACAGUUUCGGACUAUGUUGAUUCAAGCAUCCUUCUGCAGAUUGUAAUUGCAGUUCUUGAAUGACUGAAAUUUACUUCAGCAUACAUGAAAAACCUUUGGAAAUAAUGAAUAAUAUUUAAGGGUUUUGACAGGGGCUCUAUUUGUAGUAUUUAUGACGAAGAAACUUUUGACAGUCAAAAUAUUGAUUUACACGGGAUUUUCCAGACUGCCAAGUGAGGAGUGUAAAGGUAGGUGGGUACCCAGAUGGAAUGCUUGGACUCCUCCUGUAGAUUGAGUUGUUCUACUUGUGACCUGAAUAUAUAGUUAAAUUACUGCAAUUUUUUUUGGUGUUGCUGGCAGGUUAGAUUCCUGUUUUAUUUUUAAAUUACCCUAUAAGCAGAAUGAAAAUAUUUAUGACAAGAGUUAUAUCCACCAGAAUUUACAGAAGAAGGGUCUUUGUAGAAUGGAUGGAAAGAGAUUUCUUUGCAUUUGGGACUGCAGAAGUUGUGAAGAAUAUAGAAGAAAAUGACAUUGAAAAGAUGUCUGUUUCAAUCUUGCAAGAACAUAGCAUGCUGAAAAAGGGACAGGAUUUUAUAGAACAGGUGAUAGCUUGAUGGGGGUUUUUUUUGGUUUGUGCAGAAAGCUGAUCACAAGGUUUGUAUGAAGAACAUGGUACACAUAAAUAGUGCUCUUAAGAUAGUUUUGCCAUGGCUGGUAUAUCAGGGAUUUCAAAACUCAAGUGUCUGAAGGAUUAAGUGUUUAUAACCAAGUACUGCAACGGCUGAUUGGCACAAAAGAAUGAAUGAAACUAACUUUCACAUUUUCUAAUUUUGUAAUCAAAUCUUUGCACUUAUAUUCAGUGAGAGGAAAAUCUUGAAAAUAAAUGGAAUGAUAAAAGAUAUGAAACAUUACCAGGAAGAAAUGUGGAUUCUACAUGAACUGUAGCUGUAUUAAUAAAUUAAGAGUAACAAUUAUACAUUUACAGAAGACUUUAGCAUGCAUUGAAAACCAUACUCUAAAUAUCUUAAAAAUUUAAGUAAAACCAGAUAAAGUAUUUCAAUAUGUGAAAGUUAGGUAAGGUUUUGUAUGGUACAGAAAAGAGAAGCAGAUUGUUUCAAAUCCAAGAGAAGUUAAAAAUUAAGGAAGGAGGGAGCUUUUGUGAUAGAGAAAGAUGUACACUGGAGAUGGAAAGCAAGGUUCAGAGAUGAAAUGAGAAAGGGAACAGAAGCUGGAACAGACAGGCUGCAUUUGAUCUGCUGUGGACUCAAAGCUAUAAAAAGUACUUAAGGUGCAAAUUGACAUAAUUUAUGCAGAAAUGAAAUUCAGGCCAGCUGCAGAUGGUGAAUGAUGCUGGAUGUGGACACACACAGAUAUUACAGUAGUGUAGCUAAUUGAGUUUCUUUCAAAUGCUUGAUCCUGUUUUAUUUGCCUCGUAGAGGGAAAAAUACAGUUCUACCCUCGAUUCACACUACAAACACCCCAUGAUAGUUAAUAAAACUGUUCCUUUAAUUUAAUUUUAGCAUAGCUGAUUCUUCAAUUGGUAACUAAAUAACAAUGUUGCAAUAUGAACAUGUGAAAUGGGGGUUUAGCUUCUCUUUGGAGAAAUAAAAUUUAACAGCUCUGAAGCUUUUAUGUGUGGGCAGAGAGUAGACUUCAAUUUAGGUCAGAAUUAUGAAUGUCUUUUUUUUAUAUACUUACCGGUAUUUUGUACACUUAUAAUUCAUUCAUUUGUGUUUAAGUACAGUAAAGACUUAUGUCUUCUGGGUUUUAUGUGGAGUUGAUGCAAACUGAAAAAAACCCCAAAAUAUCAGCAGUUAUGUCCCAAAAGUAACAUACUUUUUCCAUCUAACCAUCUCAUACUGGUUUCAUAUUACAAUUGAGCUAGUUAAUUUUGGUCUGUCUAUCCUCAAAAGCCCUUAGAAGUUCUCAUUCUUCUUCUUUUGCUUCUGAUUGUUUUGUUUGCUGAUGCAAAAACUUCUGUGAAUUAUUUUCAAUUCUAGGUUUACUUGCAGACUCGUCAUUUUAAUAUGGGAGUUUUAAUUUUUCAUGUCUUAAUUUUUUUUUUAAUGUUGUUUUUUACUUUCAUUUUAUGAAGAUGAGGUAGCUACUGUGUAUCAGAAGAGGCACAAUUGUACUAACAACAUUUUUCAUGGUCAUCCUUAAUAUUGCUACAACAAUUAGGUCUCAUGUUGGAAACUGAGAGGCUCAGGAAAUGAAGGCACAGCUCAAUGAAUGUGACCUUGCACGAUGCUUGACAAAAUGAUGAUGUCUGAGUGACUGUAAAGGCUGCCUCUUGAGUUAUGAUGUGGAUACCACACCAGAGAAUAUUGGUGCUGUGAUGAAAUGAGAAAUCUGAUCAUGAUAAAACGGAAUAUAAUGAUGAAACCAAAUCUUCAGGAGGGAAGAAUGAGAUUCCAUCAUCAUUAACAGGGUGGAAAAUCCUGCUGGGCAGCUGACAGAUGACUUUGCUUCUGACUCCAUUAGGAAAAGAUGCCGUUUAUAUCUAGUGAAUUUAAGAACAAACUGGACUGAAAGUGCAAAUAAAAUGUUUGAAACAUCCUGAAUUGGAAUGUGGCAAAUACAGAAUGUCAUGUCUCAGGUUAUAUUGUGGACCAUCCCUUUUCUCAGCACUGUAAAUCAUUUUGCUUCUGCUCAGUCAGGAUAACAUUUUUUCACAAGUGCUGCUGCUCUGGUGUUGCUAUCUGUGCUACUAAUUUUCUCCACAAUAUGUAUAUUAACAGGGGGGAAAGGAAAGGCAGCUUAAUUACAUCUUUUUGAUCCAAGGAAUCUAAAUGACAAUAAAACUUGCUUAAGUGAAAAACA